UACAGAGGGGGCAAGCGUUGUUCGGAAUUACUGGGCGUAAAGGGCGCGUAGGCGGCCUGCUAAGUCGAACGUGAAAUCCCCGAGCUCAACUCGGGAACUGCGUCCGAUACUGGCAGGCUUGAAUCCGGGAGAGGGAUGCGGAAUUCCAGGUGUAGCGGUGAAAUGCGUAGAUAUCUGGAGGAACACCGGUGGCGAAGGCGGCAUCCUGGACCGACACUGACGCUGAUGAGCGAAAGCCAGGGGAGCAAACGGG
rnacentral:rRNA from 1 species